ensembl:lncRNA
AUAGGAUUGGACAGAAUGUCAGAAGCCUCAAGCUGACAUUCACCAGCCUUUACCAAAAGGGAUGGUAAUUCUAGCUUUCUCUGUUAACAGUUGAAAGUUCUCAGCACCAUCCAAUGGCUACAUCUACCAUUAAUACUCAUAAUACCUCUUAGGCUCCAAAAAUACUGUAGUAAUCUUUGUAUCUGCUCUAGACUUUUGGACUAGUAGCUGAGUUUGGGCCUUUAAGAAAUUUGGCCCUAUAAUUAUGCUGUUUUCAUGUGAGAGUGAUUCUAGGAAUCCAAAUAUGCUGCCCCUCCAUCUUCUCUAAUGCUGUACAUGACCCAAACUUCCUCUAUCUCUCUUCAGAGGCCUUCCUGGGGAUUGAUUUUGGGUCUGCCUUUACACUGUUGACAACAACUUUUGUGUCAUUCAUUUGCUCUGAAAGAGACCCUCAAAAUGUUUUUCAACACAGAGUCCACACUGGUUUCAUAUGUGAUGAGGAGAAAAGCAAACAGUGGAGAACAGCAGUAGAUACGACACAGAAAAGCAAGAAAGAAAAAUUAAGGACUAAAAGACAGAGCUGUUUCUAAAACAUCAGACUUUUGAGACUUUGCAUACAUUUGCUCAUGUCUUCAGAUUUCCUGCAGUCUGAAGGACCCAACAAUUUUUUGAAAACCCUCAUUUAGCAUUAAAGGUAAACACGAGGUAGUGAGAGACAGACAAUGAUUAUGAGACCUGCCAUUGUUUAAGGGCAGUAGUGUUUCGGAGCUCCUUUACAAAUUUGAGAGAUGUAAAAUAUUUGCCCAACUGCACACAGUCACUCAGCAAUGCACAUCAAAUUACUGCUCAGUACUGUAGCAGUAAAAAUUAGAACUGUAAUAAUAUCAAAGUGACACAUCAACUCACAAAAACCUUUCUGCAGAGAGAUGACUUUUACACUGACUCACCCCUUGAUGGUUUAUUUAAUCUGAACUCAAAGGCCUAAUACUAUUGAUACUAGCAACGAUGUGAUUCAAAAUUCAAUGAUUGCUAGAAUUAAUAGUUCCACUGGAUUUUAAAUAAACUAUGUUGAUUCAAAAUUCAAUGAUUGCUAGAAUUAAUAGUUCCACAGGAUUUUAAAUGAACUAUGCAGAACUUAUCUCUUUGGGGAACAACUCUUUAAAAAUGUACAAAGGAAAAGUAAUUUUUUUAAAUUUUGCUCCAUUUUCACUAGUGGAUACUAUGACAAUUUAGCCAUAUCUUCCUUUCCAGGAAAGAUCUCGUAUUUUCUCAUGGAAUUGCUAGUUUCAUUCUCUAAACAGUGCUUUUGAUCUUUGUGUUAGUGCCAGUCUUAUUUACAAAAUGGGAAUAGUGCAGUGUGAAAAGUAGUUUAGAAUUAAAAAGCAUUUGAAGCACAAUACAAAUUCAGAAUAGUGGAAAAACACCAUAAUUAGAAUACAUUUGAAUGGGAGGGGGGAAAAGAACACAGGAGAAAAAAGGAAAAAAAUUGUUUGGGUUUUUUUUGUCAAAAAUACUUUGAGGUAUUUUUGUAUUAAUUUUGCACAUUUUACACAUUCUGUAGCCAUUAUCUGUCCCCCAAUAAUAUGAAUAAUUAUUCUAGUAUCAUCACUCCUCACUUCUCCUAACAGUUAGCACUUUUUUCCAGCUGGAAAUCUAUGCACUAGUUACAUUGUUUAUUAUCUCUUCAGAGGUUUAUUGCAUGUAGACAAUUUCUGGGUCUUUUCCCUUCCAGGUUAGGAGCUGAGAUUUUUUUCAUUUCUUAUGUCUUAUCUUGGUGAGGAUGAAGCCACAGACAAUAGCACACACAGCAUCCCACAGGGACCUGUAAUACAUUUCAUGCCAUUGAGCUAGCCACAGAAACUACAUGCUGCUAGUGAAAGCUACAUUAUAAACUGUUCCGUGCAUUUUGCUGCAAUUUCUGAGUAUUCAGAAUUUUUGCAGCCUCAUUAAGGAAGCUUCUUGUCUAACAUAGGUGUCUUUAACUCAAUUUUGAUGUCAGCUCCUGAGUAAUACCAAGAUACCACUACAGCAACUUCACUUUAGAUUGUGCUGUCAUUGAAUUUAAUGCUCAUACGACAUUUUUUAAGACACUGUGAGUGCCAGUGAAUCUUGCAAUGAAUUUCUGAGAUGCUAUGAAGAGACAUAUCACUUUCACUAUUUAAGCAAAAAAAAAAAAAAAAAGCCAUAGUGAGUGCCUGUGUAAGAUCAAGAAAAAUGUUUAAAGUACUUUAAUAUGGUUGUUCUUUAAAAGAAAAAUAACCACAGUAAUUUCAAGUACAAGUACAGCUAAUUGGUCACACGAUGACAGACCUUAUAUCUCCUUUCCAAAUACUUUAUACACGAUGGGUACCUGAUGGUCUAUUGGCUUAGACUUCUGCAGGUGCAGUUGCUGACUACUUUAGGUCAUCAGGCAGUGGAGAAAAAGUACUAAAAAUAAAAUACAUAUCCUGGAUUUUUUUCCUUUGUUUUUUCAUAUGGUUCUCUUUAGAAAUAUAGGAGUUAGCAGGGAAAACUGCUACUU